rnacentral:lncRNA from 1 species
UCUUCUACCUUCUACCCUUGCUGCCUUGGAACCUGGGACCACCAUGCUGUGAAGACUCCAGGGACAUGAGGCCAUGUGGAGAGAGUCCCAACCAUUACAACCAUCCCAGCCAUUUAGCCUGAUCCCCCACACUGAGUCUGUUAUUGGUGUUCUUGUAAUCUCCCAGGAUAGAAAUCAAGAGAGAUCACCAGCCACAGCAGCAAAGAAAAAGAGAAAGCUUCAUUUAGCUGGUGCACAGGGAAAGGCAGCACCAUGGAAGUAGUUAACAGUUCUGCAGAACAUUUUAGAAAUGGUAACAUAAGUAUAAACAACAAAACAGUGAGAUUCUGAUACCAACUUCCAGUUCCUCCUCACCAAGACUUCGUGAAAACUCUUCAGCUCAUCUGGCAAAACAAACAGGCAAAGACGCAGAUACCAGGACACUUCCUUUUGAACACUUGGCUGCAGAAGCUAAGAGACAUGGGAUACGCGAAUUGAUUCUUACAUAAUAUGAGAGAUAUAGGUGAGUCAAAAGACUGCAGAACUUCCAAUUUUAUCUCCUCAGCCAGUUAUUAACCACUCAUUUUUUGA